CCUACGGGGGGCAGCAGUAGGGAAUAUUGCUCAAUGGGGGAAACUCUGAAGCAGCAACGCCGCGUGGAGGAUGAAGGUUUUCGGAUCGUAAACUCCUUUUGUUAGAGAAGAUAAUGACGGUAUCUAACGAAUAAGCACCGGCUAACUCCGUGCCAGCAGCCGCGGUCAUACGGAGGGUGCAAGCGUUCCUCGGAAUCACUGUGCGUAAAGAGCGCGUAGGCGGGAUAGCAAGUCAGAUGUGAAAUCCUAUGGCUUAACCAUAGAACUGCAUUUGAAACUGUUAUUCUAGAGUAUGGGAGAGGUAGGUGGAAUUCUAGGUGUAGGGGUAAAAUCCGUAGAGAUCAAGAGGAAUACUCAUGGCGAAGGCGACCUGCUAGAACAUAACUGACGCUGAUGCGCGAAAGCGUGGGGAGCAAACAGGAUUAGAUACCCGGGUAGUC
rnacentral:rRNA from 1 species